CCAGCAUUUACAAUUAACCCCUUGACAAUGACCCACCCCCACAUAACAUAACACCCAAACAUUGAACAUUUUAUUUAACAUGAACAUGACCAUUGCCACCAAAGGGCACCAUCCAUUGCCACCAAAGGGCACCAUCCAUUGCCACCAAAGGGCACCACAAGUGUAGGGGCAUACCGAGACACCCUAUACACACCCCGGUUCGGAGCUACCUACGAGCUCGAACCUACCAAACCAGUCCAAAGGCCUACCUAUUAGCCCUGAACUCCAAACCUUUUCCCCAUCUCACUCUUUUCUCCCCCCAACUUUACUCUCCAUCCCCCGCCACAGCUCAGAGCUCGAGCUCCUGAGCGACACCCCCCCUAGGGAAAAAAGCGCUCUCUGGAGGCCCUCCUGGAAACCCAGCAACAAAAAGUCCAAGCCCACAUCGGACAGAUGGACCCCAUCACUCCUAUAAUAACCUGGGAGCAUGUCUUCCAACUCCCUGUGCCUGAUCACAACCCCCCCUGACCGCCUUAUGUAUGCUGCCAUCACCUUGUUAACCUUACCCUUAAUUUUCGCCACUGCGGAGGGAUUCCGCGUGUGCCGCCAGUACAACCUUGGAACCAUUUUCGACCACACUUCCAUAAACCCUGGCACUAACUCCCUUAACCUGUCCACGUCCCUCUUCAUAAACUCGAGCAGGACCUUUUGAGGUAACGACCCCACA